rnacentral:rRNA from 1 species
AGAUAUGUAGGCUGCACCGCCAACAGGCGGCAAGGCUGGAGUAUUUUAUUACCCUUGUCUUUUGCGCACUUGUUGUUUCCUGGGCGGGUUCGCCCGCCUCCAGGACCACAUGAUAAACCUUUUUUAUGCAGUUGCAAUCAGCGUCAGUACAACAAAUGUAAAUCAUUUACAACUUUCAACAACGGAUCUCUUGGUUCUGGCAUCGAUGAAGAACGCAGCGAAAUGCGAUACGUAGUGUGAAUUGCAGAAUUCAGUGAAUCAUCGAAUCUUUGAACGCACAUUGCGCCCUUUGGUAUUCCAAAGGGCAUGCCUGUUCGAGCGUCAUUUGUACCCUCAAGCUUUGCUUGGUGUUGGGCGUUUUUUGUCUUUGGUUUUGUCCAAAGACUCGCCUUAAAACGAUUGGCAGCCGGCCUACUGGUUUCGCAGCGCAGCACAUUUUUGCGCUUGCAAUCAGCAAAAGAGGACGGCACUCCAUCAAGACUCUAUAUCACUUUUGACCUCGGAUCAGGUAGGGAUACCCGCUGAACUUAAGCAUAUCAAUAAGCGGAGGAA